GUGAAGUCCACCCAGGGGGGGUUCCCAGGAAGGCAUUGCUGAGGAGGCUAAAGGUCAAGAAUAGCAGUGCCAACCCCAGCGGGUGACCAGGGAGAGGGAUCAUUUGCAUUAAGGCACAAAGUCAACAGGAGUGGCUGCCGAGCUCACAGAGCAGGACAAGGGGGCCACAGGGGCCGCCGCUCCAUGGUAAGAAGAGGCCUGCUCAGAUGGGCAUCUGGAGAAGACCUGUCCAGCUCCAGGGUAGAAAAGGAACAGAUGGGCUCAGGCCUGGGUGCUGCCCAAGGCCAGGCUGCUUGAGAUGUUUGGUGAAAUGAGGCAACGUGCCUGUGAUUUUGUUUUCAGCCCCAUCGCCAAGGCACCCUCUGAGGCUUGCAGUCUCCAUGGGCACAGCCAGGCUGGAGUACAACGGCGUGAUCUCGGCUUUCCACAACCUCCACCUCCCGGGAUCAAGUGAUUCCCCUGCCUCAGCCUCCUAAGUAGUAGGAAUUACAGGGGAAGCCAGCUGUCAUGUCAGGAGGUACCCGGAGCCUCUGUAUGGCUGGGAGCUAGAAGCAGCCUCAACCCAGAGUCAGUAGGAGUCGGAGGGCCUCAUUCCACCAGCUCACAGGGAACUGAAGCCCACCCACAAUUACGUAAGUGAGCUUGCACCGCAGUCAGGCUGGGGAUUCCCUCUCGGCCAAGUGUUCAGAUGAAACUGCAGCCCCAGCCACAGCUUGACUGCGUGUUGUUGGCGACCUGGGGGCAGAGGCACCAGCUCAGCUAUACCUGGAUUCCUGACUCAGAGACCAUCUGAUAAUAAAUGUUUACUAGUUUUCAACUGCUAAACGUGAGGGCAAUUUGUUAUACCGUAAUAAAUAAUACAUGUGAAGUGGAACCGUAUAAAAUUGUUAUUUAUUACGUUUUUAAAAGUUAAAUGUCAGCAAUUUCUUAUGAGUCAAACCAACUGCUCUACCCUAUGCUUAUUAUAGAACAUCCUGCAAGCUCCUUGUUCUUUAAUCUCGCUCCAAAAAUGUGGAAAUAGGCU
rnacentral:lncRNA from 1 species